rnacentral:rRNA from 1 species
AGCGCAGGCGGACUUUCAAGUCGGUGGUGAAAUCUUACAGCUUAACUGUAAAACUGCCUCCGAUACUGUGAGUCUUGAGUGUGGAAGAGGGCGAUGGAAUUCAUGGUGUGGCGGUGAAAUGCGUAGAUAUCAUGAAGAACACCGGUCGCGAAGGCGGUCGCCUGGUCCAUUACUGACGCUCAUGCUCGAAAGUGUGGGGAGCAAACAGGAUUAGAUACCCUGGUAGUCCACACCUUAAACGAUGAAUACUUGGUGUCGGGUCGAAAGGCUCGGUGCCAAAGCUAACGCAUUAAGUAUUCCACCUGGGGAGUACGAUCGCAAGGUUGAA